AUUCAUCACAAAUACAGGUAAACCAAUUAUUUUCCAUCUCUAGUCAAUUAUAAUGCUAAAAACAUCGCAAUUUUGGUCUGCUCUGGUCAAAAAUAUUUGAUUAGGCCAGUGGCGUAGCCAGAACGAUAAUUGGGAGGGAUGGGGGGAUAUUCAUGCCAUUGGCAUUGUUGCUUGCACUGAUCUUACAUCAGGCGCUUACGAGAGGUCCACGUAUCAAAUAGAAACUGAAAUAGAAACUGAAAUAUAAAAUCAAAUCAAACUUGCCAUUGUGCAAUUAAACAAAACCAACCUUGCCAUAUUUGUGUAGCUAUAAAACAACCUUGACUGUUGAACUUGAACAAAACAACCUUGACUGUUGAACUUGACUGAAAAUAUGAGUGUAACGAUUGAGAUCAAUCGUUCAAGAAUUGUUUCACACCAUAAAUUUACACAAGGAAAUUACAUUCUGGAAUCAAAUGUUGAUGAUGUUCUGUUUAAAAGUAUUUUACUUGCCAUUGUCUAACCGAGACCCCAAACAGUUGUUAUCUAGUUAUUGUCGUAUCUUAUACUAAACUACGUUGAACUUUAACUUACUGAUGUACAAGAUGCGGAACGCGGGAUAUAUUUGCUGUUGACAAGGUAUUCGGUCCCAGGGGUGAAUUGGAGGGCAGGGGCUUUCUAUUUUUGAUGAUUGCAUAAUCUGUUAAAUCAUGUUUGAAAGUUUUUUGAAAUUAUGGUGGCACCUUGUGAAAACCCGCACCCUAUUAAAGUGUAUCAAUCAUCCUACGUCCUCGCGAUGAAUUCAGUGAUUUCUGUUUGGUUGACGUAUAAUCCACUAACGCCAUACGCAAAUGCAAGUACGCUUAGCGUACCUAUUUUUAUUCCAAAGGCUAACCACAUGUACGCAGUGCGUACCUAUUUUUCCAGGUAGAUAUGUACUGUUUAAUACACGAGCAGGAGUGUUUUAUUAGGUUUCAAGCCCUGCGAAUUUAUUAAACGGAAUUCAAACACGACCACAAAUUCAACAGAUAUACUGUACUGCCUUAUUAGUGUUCUUUAUAUAAAGAAUACUAAUGAGGACACAACUAGAAUAGAUACUGCCUUAUUAGUAUUCUUUAUAUAAAAGAAGACUUAGUAUAGAUUAAAAAAAAAAUUGUUAUUUUUCUAGGUACAGCAAUUUGUGCUGAGCGAAGAUCACUUUGCCUUUCAACUUGCAGAAAUCGUGUUCCUAUACAUGUAUGUGACAUCAUUUGCAACAAUGUACGUACAUGAUUAUUGCACAUUAUAAGUCAUGUUUACGUUGGAAAUGAAAUAUGACAGUUUGUAACCAUAUAAUAUUUCCAAAUAAGGUCAAUGCCUUGUUUAAUUUAAUUAACAAAAUAGAUGAUUAUUUUCUACAUUCCUGAUUCCAUACGGCGCAUUGUGUGAAAUGUAUCGAAAUGCAGCUCAAAAGCGAGCAAGAUAUGUCUGAUCAGGACCGCCGAGAAGGGGGGAGGCAGGGGGGGAGGCAAAUUACCCCGUGCUCCCAGGUUCUGGGGGCCCCUAGAAAAUUUUUGUUGGGACCCAGUCAUUUUUUUGGGUGAAACAUUUCCGCGCAAAGGGCAAGAUUUUUGUUUUUUUUGGCAAAGUACCGAAAUUUCGUAUGAAAAAUAUUGGUCAAGUCACUGGAAAGCAAUUACAACGCAUUAGGGCCCCCUAAAAAUAGGGGCCCCUAAAAAAAAUUUGCUCCGGGCCACCGCCAAGCUCUCGGCGGCCCUGUGUCUGAUGCAAAUAUCUGAACAUUUUUUCUGAAUAUAGGUUAUGAAAUCUUUACGUAGAAACGUCUGUGAUAGUAGAUGCACAAUACUCCCUGUUGGACACCAACGAAGUACAUGCUAUAGAACGUGCUAUAUUGUAAGUAUAGAGACUUAUUAAUCAGAGCGCUGGCUGGCGCAGGAGCUUCGAAUCAAAAUGCGAAACUGUAAUAAAAGUGUGCAUGGGAAUUAGAAACAUAUGCCAGAAAGGGUUGCAUCGGAUAUAUCGAUGUGAAACAUUUCCAGACGUAUACCGGAUACUUUUAUAUAAAGUUUGAUAUUUAGUUUAUAGAUGCUGUAAAUUCUGUAAUGUAAACAAACACUUUAUUUACAUUUUGAACUAAGUUCUACAGUUCUAAAAUAUGAUUAAAUAAUUAUAUCUUAUAUCGAAUUUUUAACAUUAAUUCUUCUGGUUUGCUAUGCUUGUAAAUGAAUACAGACUGGAGAUACGUUUCAAAAAGAUUCGGAAGGUGCGAAAUAUUAGUAACAUUCCAAUGGUCGGGUUCCGACCAUUGGGAAGUAGGUCUGCGCAGAAUGGACUUUACAGCAUCUUUAAGGUAAAAUAAUGAUUUUCAAUGGUUAGAGAAUUAAAGAGGGUGUUUAUGAUUUUUUGACUUGAAGAAAUAGGAAACGACUUCACAGUUAAAUAUAGAAAAAUUUGCAUAAUUGCCUUUGCCAAUGCCCACAUAUUUCAAAGGUAAAAUCCGCUUUUUGGCAUUCUUACUUGGCAAGUUAGAGAUCAAAUUGAUACAGGGCGCAGUAAGGGUAAGCUUGAGAGGGGUGCCAUGUUUCAUUUUUUCAAGCUGUGUCUAUAAUAUAUUGAGUGUAGUGCAAGUGUUUCAUACCAAACCCACAGUUUCAAAAUUUCUACGAAUCAACACUUGUUUAUUUUUAAAGUGAAACCACACUUUAUAGAAGUAAACUAAAGUAUCACUCCUCACAUACACAUGUUGGCGUCUUUGUCCCCCUGCUUCCUCCUACAAUGUUGAUGUUGACAUUCAUUCCACAACGUUUUCACCUAGCAUUUUUAAUAAGCUUUCAACAUUGAGCGGGAGGGAGAGGAGGGAGAGGAGGGAGAGGAUGGAGUAGAGGGAGAGGAGGGAAAAGAGGGAGAGGAGGAAGAGGAGGAAGAGGAGGAAGAGGAGGGAGGGAGGGAUUUGGAAGUUAAAAAUUGCUGUUUUUACACGUUUGUAUUGUGCAAGGAUGGUAUUUCUAUUUCCAUGCGGCUGUUCACAAUAACUUUUGCCAGGAUCGUAGAUAGAAGGACUAAAAAUAGCUUUUUUCCUUUUUCCCUAGUGCUUCCCUAUUUGAUUGUUACCAGAAGAUGCGCAGUUUUGAAUAAAUUUAUGUCUCAAAUAAUAUUUCAUUAUGACUAUACGUAGA
rnacentral:lncRNA from 1 species